rnacentral:lncRNA from 1 species
UUCAAGAAAAUAAUUAAAAUAUUUACUUCACAUCUGCAGAUUCUAAGGGAUGUGAAUACAUUAAAAAUGUUUUUAAAAUGUAAUGAUUAGGAUAAAAAAUAGAAUUUUGCAUGUUUUCAUAUUGGCUACUUUUUAUUAAUCCAAUGUCUUUGAAAAUUUUUACUUAUGUAUUUUUUCAGAAAUUUCAAGCUACUGAAAAAAAUUACCCAAAUCUGGCCAUUUAAAUGUGCAGUGAACUAUUUUAGUAGCUGUUUAACAUUUUUCAAAGACUUCUUCCAUAAUAAUGUGAACUAGAUACUUGCCUGUGCUGUGGAGAGGGAAGUAGUGUAAGUGUUGUUACCCAGGUCAGUGUGACAAUAUGUAAAUGAAAUCUGGAGGAUGGUGGAAAUAAGUUGAUAUUCCACACAGCAGAACUACAGUCCAACUACUUAACAAAGCGCUGUUUAUACUAUACAUCAGCUUCUGAGGGCAGAGAGGAGGAGGAGGGCCUGGGACAAAGCUGCUGUGAUCCUCCCCAUCCUGGGAUGAUAUCAGCUCAUCUGCAUAGCCAUCUUGAAGUUUGGUACAUAUUGUUCAUCAGAAAGAACAUGCUAUGACAUUUAAUUGUGGGUUCUAACACAAAAGCUGAGCGUUGAACAGGUUAUUUCAUUCUAUUUGAUUAAACAAUGUCAUUAUUUAAUUGCAUAUUUGGAAACUUCAAUUAAUUGAGCUUUAAAAUCGCAAAAAAAGGGGGGGGGAGUUAGCGUUUAAGUUCAGAUCAUUGUAAAUAGUUUUCUAUCAAAUCAGUAAAUGUUAAGAAAGUCACAUGGAAAAUUUGUCUGAUUUUCCUCAUGUGGGACUCUUACAUUGCAGGACACCUAACUACCCUGGCUCCUGCCACUAAAUACCCAUGGUUCCAUCUAUAUCUGUGCCAUCUCAAAACCCACAUGUAAAACAUCCAAUGUCGAGGUAGUAUUGGUGUCUUGCCUAGCAUGUCCAAGGCCCUGGGUUUAUUCCCUAACAGACACACACACAAGUCUGAAAUUGUUUUAAUUGAAAUUAUCAGAAAAACAAUUUUUAAAAAGUGUUCUCUAGGCAAUUAAUGGAGGCUGGGCAUGAUGGCUAAGGACCGUAAUCCCAGCUACUUGGGAAUCUGAGGCAAGAAGAUCACAAAUUCCAGGCCAGCCUAGGUAAUUUGCCAAAUUAGGGAAAUAAUUAAAAUUUAAAUUAGGGAAAUAAAAAAGACUGGAGGUGUAGCUCAGUAGUAGAGCACUUGCCCAGCAUGCACGAGGCCCUGGAUUCCACCUUCAUCACCACAAGAAAAAAAGACAUCUGAUAAAAUAAUUAAAAAAAAAAAAAAUAUAUAUAUAUAUAUGGUUUUUAAAGUCAUUGCCAAGGACUAAUUUUGGAUAAUGGACAUUGUAUAUUCUGAAACAAAGAAAAGUCAGUGUUCAGUAAGCCCUUAUUUGAAAAAUAAAAGAAGAUAUAGUGUAAAUUUGGAAAUAAGGAAAAUUGGAAUUAAAGUACAGAUAUAUUUAAAUUUUAAGCUACUUUAUAAACAUUCAAAUGGUAUAGUAAAAUACAUGAAAAUGUUUACAUGGGAAGUUCCUCUUUACCAUAUUUCUAGCUUUCCUUGAUACUCAACUGCUGAGACUCUAGAGCCAGGCUAUGACUUUGGGUAAGUUACUUCACUACCCCAAACCUCAGUUUCUUCACAUGCAGUAUAUUUAAUUCUUACCUCACUAUACUGUUCUGAGGAUUGAGAACCAAGUGGAUAAAGGGAACAGUGUCUGGCAGGUGGUAGGUAAGUGCCACUGUUACUGUUUCAAUUUCUUCCAUUUUGGAAGCUUCUUUAAUGGAAGUGUUACUUUCAAAACAGUGUGCUUUCAGGGCUGGGGUUGUGGCUCAGUGGUGGAGCCUACACCUAGCAUGUGUGAGGCGCUGGGUUCAAUCCUCAGCACCAACCACCUAAAAACAAAUAAAAUGAAUGUAUUGUGUCAGAACAGUGUGUUUUCAGUCAUGGGGUAAAGCACUCCUGGCUGUCCUCAAUAAAAAAUUGAUAAGAAAAAGAUUCAACAUACAUUGCCUGAGGCACUCUGAGUUUUGGUGAAGGAUGGUAAUGAGGCCAUCAUGACUCACCUGUUAUAAACCUAAAAUUAAAAUCAGUAUAACAAGUCAACAUGAUUUCCAGAUUUUACAUUAAAAGUUUUUGUAAAUGGGGCUGGGGCUGGGGCUGUAACUCAGUGGUAGAGGGGUUGCCUAGCAUGUGUGAGGCACUGGGUUCAUUUCUCAGCACUCAUCUAAAUAAAUAAAGGUUAAUUGACAACUAAAAUAUAUGUUUUUGUAAAUGUUGAACUCUUGAUUUUAAUUUUAGGUUUUUCAUCUUUGUAGACAUUUUCUUGGAUUCAUACAGAUGUGAAGGGUACAUUUUUUGAAAUUUUGAUUUUGAAAUAUCCAUAUAUUGUGGAAAAUUGACCCUUUUCCCACAAAUCUUCGUUUUCAUAGCUCUUGAGAGCAAGAGUAAGUUCUACAAUCAUUCUGCCUUUUUUUUUUUUUUUUUUGAGGGGGGUGUCCGUUUGUGUGUGUGUGUGUGUGUGUGUCUUAUUUCUAUAUGCUUGAUAAACCUGAGUUCACGAUGAGAACAGAAUCUGCUUGUCCUUGAUUGGCUGCAAGCUAGCAUUUGCUGGGGUGGGUGAUAUAGCAGUGACUGAAAUCUUGUCAACCCAGCUUGGAGUCUUGGCUCCGUCAAUAACUAGCUGUGUGAUCUUACACAAAUUCUUAACUUCUCUAUGCCUCUUCCCUCGACUAAAAUAGAUUUAUUUAACCUCAUGGAGUUGUUGUGAAGAUUAAAUGAAUGCAUUGUAACUGCUGAAGCAGCCUGAAGCAUGUAUGUAAACACUCAAUAAACAUUAGCCAUUAUUACAUCACUACUGUC